rnacentral:rRNA from 1 species
UACGUAGGGUGCAAGCGUUAAUCGGAAUUACUGGGCGUAAAGCGUGCGCAGGCGGUUUUGUAAGUCUGUUGUGAAAUCCCCGGGCUUAACCUGGGAAUGGCAAUGGAGACUGCAAGGCUAGAGUUUGGCAGAGGGGGUAGAAUUCCACGUGUAGCAGUGAAAUGCGUAGAGAUGUGGAGGAACACCGAUGGCGAAGGCAGCCCCCUGGGUCAAGACUGACGCUCAUGCACGAAAGCGUGGGGAGCAAACAGG